rnacentral:precursor_RNA from 12 species
CGUCUCAUGAAAAGCAGGGUUGAUCCUCUUUCCUUAACUCAUGCCACUGUGCCUUUUUAUUUACUUCACCAUUGUGUGAGUUGAGUACAGAGUGUCUUUCCAACCCUGCGUCACCCCCU